AUGGCAUCUUUACAGACAAUGCCACUUCCAAAAAAAAAUUACCCCAGAAUAUCUACUCAAAGGUUAAAAAGUAAAUACAUAAAUAUGAAACUGUUGCCAGGGAAUUUCAAGUCAUGGUGUCCACUAAAAAUAGUUUCACCUUGCAACAUUGCAGUCUGGCAGUCCGAACAGUGCCUGGUCAAACGUCCCUGUCCAGUGUCCACUCCACACUGUGCUGGUUGGGGGAGGAACUCGACCCAAUUUCCCCUGCUCCUACUUCUCUCCUUGUGCCUGUAUCUAUCUCUCUGGAAAAUGAAAUAUGCUAAUAACAGAGAUAUGAAGCACCCUCUAGUAAGGAUGAGAAACGUUCAUUCCCAGUCCUCUCUGGGGAGUGACACCGACUCGCAGCCUGUCCUGAAAUUAGAGGAGGAGGAGGUAACACUAGAGGAGGAGAAAGAGAGGGAAGAGGAGAAAAAAGGGGACGUAUUGACGGACUCAGAGCUGGAUCCAGAGUUGCCUGAGGAGUAUUCCCAUGGCCUGGAGGACCUGAGGUGGAACCUGAGCUCUCUAGAGAAGGCUGUAUAUCUCAGCCUGCCACCGUGGGUCCAGAGAGCAUUGCUGUGCAACCUCAUGGCUAAAUGUGGUGUAAACAACUCAUUCUUCCCAGCCCGUCUGCUGUCCUACCUGCUGCUGCCCUACAUACUGCCAGCCUCUAUCUUUCUCCAUGUCAACUACAGGGUGCUGUGUUGGCUCCGCCAAGUCCCAGGGAAGUGGCUGUGGCCGGGUGUCGAAAUGGCUGUGCCAUUCCUUCUAAAGCUCUCUCACCCCAGGAAGAACCUCAUGCACAGGUUGUGGCCCUCUGGUCCUGUCAAAUUUUGGCCUGGUGUUCCUGCCAGGUUGUGGCCCUGCAAUCCUGUCAGGUUGUGGCCCUGCAAUCCUGUCAGGUUGUGGCCCUGCAAUCCUGUCAGGUUGUGGCCCCUACGCUUUCUGGCAUCUGCCAAAGAAACACAUACACAGUUUAAGAGUGCAGAGGAUCCUCCUCCACAGCAGCGCCGUCGCUCCGUCCUGCGGUUCCAGCUGUCCACCACCAGCACCCAUUACACAACCGAGACCCCCAACACCCCAACCGAGAGCCACCCUGACCCCCUGGGCUUCUGCCUCCUCUUCAACCUGGAACUAGCGAUGGACAACCAGCCCAAUCAGCCCAACAACCAGUCUCUACUCCACCAUAGCGAGAGGCUGCUGCCACUGGAGUAUGGCCCCUGCAUAAAGGAAGAGGCCCUGGCCUCCCCACACAUCUCCUACAUGGGGGUGGAGGAAGAGGAGGAGAGGAUCUCUCAGGGAGGGGAUGAGGUGGAGGAAGGGUUAGCUCUCCUCCGCAGCCUUCCUGUGGAGUGUGCCAAUACUGGCUACUAAUGUUGGCUGACUUUAGGGUCAGGAGUUUUUCCCUGAUCGGGUCACAUGGUUAGCAAUGUGAUUUUCUCAGCAAAUGAAUAGCAGACUUAAGUCUGCCUGUAUCCAAUUCACAACUAGUUUGUACUUUGAAGUAUAAUGUAUGUUGAACCAGAUUAGUGAAGUCAACUCUCAUGUGCCGCAUGAGGUAGUAAGCACAAAAGCUCUCUUUCUGCUACGUUCUUCCAUUCUCACUCCAGGAUGCACAAUGACUGGAAGGAAUGAUGAUUAGGGUAGAGUCCCUCUUAGUCACGUCACAUAGUCAAAACAAUUGCCUCAUGUCCCUUAUCAGCUGACUUCCAGGUAAAGUAGUAGGUAUUACCUUAUCAGCCGACUUCCAGGUAAGGUAGUACUUAUAUUGUAUUAAAUUUACGUAUUUUAAGAAAUUGUAUAUGCAGCGCUUGAAAGAGACACUGGUCUCAAUGGCGACUCCCUGAUUAAAUAAAGGUAAAUAAUGUCCACAGGACAUGUAUUGUACCUCAACUAGUUUAAUCAGAUUACUUUCAGGUAUUUGAUCGCGGGUAUUGUUCAUCAAGUGAGUGACAGUCCUAUGAGUGGGGGGCUACCUGGCAGAGAUGAAAAUAUCAUCUUGAACAGAAAACUCCAUUCACCCACUGGUGGUAGGAAUUUACAGCCUUGGGCAUAAGAAAGGCGGCAAAUAGCAAGCAGGACAUUUUUUCCUAUCUGGUUAUUAUCAGUGUUUGAUAGGAUCCUAAUAAACACCAUUAUUUUGUUAGCUGAAUAGUAAUACCUUUAGAUUGAGACAACGUUAAGCCUUUUCUCCUUGACCAACUGUUUUGCUGAGGUUGAGUGGAACUUAGUUCAUUUAAAUAAAAGUAGUUGACAAAUGAAAAGGCUCUGGCUUUCUCUUUCUUACUCAAAGCUCUGGCAGUUUCAAGAAUUCAGCUCUCUUUCUCUCAGAGGACAGUUUGGCCAUUAUCUAAACUAAGUCAAAUGUUGAUACUGUAUCAACCAAGGUACCAUCAAAUAACGCAUUUCAAUCAGUAGAAGUAGUGCUUUUUAACAAAAACAUAAUUUAUUCAUGUAAGAAAUAGUGUGAAUGCCAGCAUACACAUCUAUAUAAAUGUCAUAUUGUUCAUCAGCAGUUGUUCAUCCCAAAACAGGUAAACAAUGAUGAAACUAAAGAUUGUACUGCCAAUAACGCUAGUUUUUUCUUUUUUUAAAGUUAAUAGAAGUAUGCCGCAAUUUUCAUGUAAUUGCACUAAUACUAGUGCACUGUGUAAAGUGCUGGACAUCGCAUUGCAUUAUUACAUAGCCAGAUACAGUUUUGUAAAGUGCAUUCUAUCAAAUCUGUAAAACAUUGAUAUUGUAGAAAUAAUAUAUACCAUUUAGCAGACGCUUUUGUCCAAAGUGACUUACAGUCAUGCGUGUAUACAUUUCACAUAUGGGUGGCUCCAGUGGGAAUUGACACUUGGUGUUACAAGCAUCAUGCUCUAACAACUGAGCCACACAGGACCACAGUAUUAGAGAAAAUAUAUUUCUACCACCUGGAAAUAUUGCUACAUAAAUAGUUUGGAUCAAUAGCUUGGUUUUCUUAUUUUCUCACGUCUCAUAAGUAGAAUCCCCAAAAACAAUGCAUUAGUCUAGGGUUACUGUAGGGGCCUGUUUCGUAGUCCUGGUUCUGU
rnacentral:lncRNA from 8 species